rnacentral:rRNA from 1 species
AUUGAACGCUGGCGGCAGGCCUAACACAUGCAAGUCGAACGGUAACAGGAAGAAGCUUGCUUCUUUGCUGACGAGUGGCGGACGGGUGAGUAAUGUCUGGGAAACUGCCUGAUGGAGGGGGAUAACUACUGGAAACGGUAGCUAAUACCGCAUAACGUCGCAAGACCAAAGAGGGGGACCUUCGGGCCUCUUGCCAUCGGAUGUGCCCAGAUGGGGUUAGCUAGUAGGUGGGGUAACGGCUCACCUAGGCGACGAUCCCUAGCUGGUCUGAGAGGAUGACCAGCCACACUGGAACUGAGACACGGUCCAGACUCCUACGGGAGGCAGCAGUGGGGAAUAUUGCACAAUGGGCGCAAGCCUGAUGCAGCCAUGCCGCGUGUAUGAAGAAGGCCUUCGGGUUGUAAAGUACUUUCAGCGGGGAGGAAGGGAGUAAAGUUAAUACCUUUACUCAUUGACGUUACCCGCAGAAGAAGCACCGGCUAACUCCGUG